rnacentral:rRNA from 1 species
AAACCAACAGGGAUUGCUCUAGUAACGGCGAGUGAAGCAGCAAUAGCUCAAAUUUGAAAUCUGGCGUCUUCGGCGUCCGAGUUGUAAUUUGUAGAGGAUGCUUCUGGGCAGCCACCGACCUAAGUUCCUUGGAACAGGACGUCAUAGAGGGUGAGAAUCCCGUAUGCGGUCGGAAAGGCACCCUACACGUAGCUCCUUCGACGAGUCGAGUUGUUUGGGAAUGCAGCUCUAAAUGGGAGGUAAAUUUCUUCUAAAGCUAAACAUUGGCCAGAGACCGAUAGCGCACAAGUAGAGUGAUCGAAAGAUGAAAAGCACUUUGGAAAGAGAGUUAAAAAGCACGUGAAAUUGUUGAAAGGGAAGGGAUUGCAACCAGACUUGCUCGCGGUGUUCCGCCGGUCUUCUGACCGGUCUACUCGCCGCGUUGCAGGCCAGCAUCGUCUGGUGCCGCUGGAUAAGACUUGAGGAAUGUAGCUCCCUCGGGAGUGUUAUAGCCUCUUGUGAUGCAGCGAGCGCCGGGCGAGGUCCGCGCUUCGGCUAGGAUGCUGGCGUAAUGGUUGUAAUCCGCCCGUCU